UCCAACUCAUUCCAAGUUGAGCGUGCAUCUCCACCCUUGGGAAUCAAUUAAGUAGGGUGUAUAUACCUGCAUAUAUUAUCUUACACAUUCCUUACGAGAUCAGGUACAGAUCAGCUGAGGAGCUGGUAGGAUCAAUGAUUCAAAUUAUGUAGGAACUUCUCUUAUUUGAGCAAAGGGUGAGAAUUAAUUAGUAAGAGAUAAAUACUAUAUACCACAUAAGAAUCCAUUGUGAAUAGGGAAUGACAGUGCUAAAAUUGAGUAAUGGAUAAUUAUGUAGUUAGAUGGCAUAUGCCACGCCAUCAUAAUAAUUUCUUAUGUUCGUAAAGCUUCAAAGAUUCAGAAUGAAUAUGAUCAAAAUACAGUUAGGAUUAUGCUUUAUAAAUUUGGAGUGAGAGCCACGUGAAGAAGAGCAGACAAUUCAUGCUUCAAAAAGACAUUGCAAUGUAAUUGCCUCUGCCCACCGUUUUCCCAACCCAGAAAGGAUCAGAUGUCCAUAUCUUCCCACCCGUUUUCCCACAGUCCAAGGCAUUACUUUCUGGAACCUCCUCUAGCUCUGAGCUACAUUUGCUCAAAGGCUAAAGGGAAUUUUGGACAGUAUGUCGUGCUCGUGGCACCGCGGGACAAAACGACAACUAAGUGCAUGUGUUGGAGGCCUCACUGAUGCAGUUAUUUAUAAGGACAUAGUGCGCAUAGGGCGCACGGAUUUGUGUGAUGAACUGAUCUGGAUUCAAAUUUUAUUUUAGAUUAGAAUAUAUCAAUGUUCAGUUGGAUAGCACCUUGGGGAUAGAGAAGGUCAACCGUGCGAUGUGGAAUCAUUUCACAGGAUGUCAGGAUUAGGUGACAGGUUACUGUAAUGUAGGUCUGGGGACUUGAGGCUGAUGGAUGUUUUUUACGUUCAGCAAAAUUCCAACCUUGUCAGCAUGAUAGUCCGGCCAAAAGAUUCACAGUCGAAUUAGCACUGUUAUAUGUGCCCCCACUCUAUUAACGAAAAAAAUAGUGUAAUUAAUUUGGUCAUGGAUCAAUUGUUACGAUGAUAUAAUUUGUGAUCCUAGCUACAUUUCAAUAUGAGACAAAUCAU
rnacentral:lncRNA from 1 species